rnacentral:rRNA from 1 species
UACGGGGGGUGCGAGCGUUGUCCGGAAUCACUGGGCGUAAAGGGCGCGUAGGUGGCGUCGUAAGUCUGUGGUGAAAGCCCGGAGCUCAACUCCGGGUCUGCCGCGGAUACUGCGAGGCUUGAGUGCUGUAGAGGGUCGUGGAAUUCCCGGUGUAGCGGUGAAAUGCGUAGAGAUCGGGAGGAACACCAGAGGCGAAGGCGGCGACCUGGACAAGUACUGACACUCAACUACGAAAGCGUGGGGAGCGAACAGG